rnacentral:rRNA from 1 species
GAUGAACGCUGACAGAAUGCUUAACACAUGCAAGUCGAUUCGAUUUACCUUCGGGUAUUGAGGAUGGCGGACGGGUGAGUAACGCGUAAGGAACUUGCCUCUUGGUCUGGGACAACUGUUGGAAACGACAGCUAAUACCGGAUAUUAUGAGAUUCUCGCAUGGGAAACUUAUGAAAGCUAUAUGCGCCAAGAGAGAGCCUUGCGUUCCAUUAGCUAGUUGGUGGGGUAACGGCCCACCAAGGCGACGAUGGAUAGCCGGCCUGAGAGGGUGAACGGCCACAAGGGGACUGAGACACGGCCCUUACUCCUACGGGAGGCAGCAGUGGGGAAUAUUGGACAAUGGGCCACAAGCCUGAUCCAGCAAUUCUGUGUGCACGAUGAAGGUCUUCGGAUUGUAAAGUGCUUUCAGUUGGGAAGAAGAAAGUGACGGUACCAACAGAAGAAGCGACGGCUAAAUACGUGCCAGCAGCCGCGGUAAUACGUAUGUCGCAAGCGUUAUCCGGAUUUAUUGGGCGUAAAGCGCGUCUAGGCGGAAAAAUAANUCUGAUGUUAAAAUGCGGGGCUUAACUCCGUAUUGCGUUGGAAACUGUUUUUCUAGAGUACUGGANAGGUGGGCGGAACUACAAGUGUAGAGGUGAAAUUC